AAAUCUCCCUUCGGGGAGAAAGUAGAGUGGCGCACGGGUGAGUAACACGUAGGUAAUUUGCCUUCGGGUGGGGAAUAACAGCCGGAAACGGCUGCUAAUACCGCAUAAUGCAGCGGCUCGACAUCGAGACAGUUGUUAAAGCGGGGGAUCGCAAGACCUCGCGCCUGAAGAGAAGCCUGCGGCGGAUUAGCUAGUUGGUAGGGUAAUGGCCUACCAAGGCGACGAUCUGUAACCGGCCUGAGAGGGCGGUCGGUCACACUGACACUGACAUACGGGUCAGACUCCUACGGGAGGCAGCAGUCGGGAAUUUUGGGCAAUGGGCGAAAGCCUGACCCAGCAACGCCGCGUGAAGGAUGAAAUCCCUCGGGAUGUAAACUUCGCAAGAAUGGGAAGAAUAAGUAGAAGAUAAUACCUUCUAUGAUGACGGUACCAUUUGUAAGCUCCGGCUAACUCCGUGCCAGCAGCCGCGGUAAUACGGGGGGAGCAAGCGUUGUUCGGAUUUACUGGGCGUAAAGGGCGCGUAGGCGGCCACGACAAGUCACUUGUGAAAUCUCCGGGCUUAACUCGGAACGGUCAAGUGAUACUGUCGGGCUAGAGUACAGAAGGGGCAACUGGAAUUCUCGGUGUAGCGGUGAAAUGCGUAGAUAUCGAGAGGAACACCUGCGGCGAAGGCGGGUUGCUGGGCUGAUACUGACGCUGAUGCGCGAAAGCUAGGGGAGCGAACGGGAUUAGAUACCCCGGUAGUCCUAGCCUUAAACGAUGAAUGCUUGGUGUCUCGGGUUUUAUAGUCCCGAGGUG
rnacentral:rRNA from 1 species